CCUACGGGAGGCAGCAGUGGGGAAUAUUGCACAAUGGGGGAAACCCUGAUGCAGCGACGCCGCGUGAAGGAUGAAGUAUUUCGGUAUGUAAACUUCUUUUGUCAGGGAGCAAUUGAGUCCACGUGUGGUCUUAGCGAGAGUACCUGAAGAAAAAGCAUCGGCUAACUCCGUGCCAGCAGCCGCGGUAAUACGGAGGAUGCGAGCGUUAUCCGGAUUUAGUGGGUUUAAAGGGUGCGUAGGCGGAAUAUCAAGUCAGCGGUAAAAAUUCGGGGCUCAACCCCGUCGUGCCGUUGAAACUGAUGUUCUUGAGUGGGCGAGAAGUAUGCGGAAUGCGUGGUGUAGCGGUGAAAUGCAUAGAUAUCACGCAGAACUCCGAUUGCGAAGGCAGCAUACCGGCGCCCAACUGACGCUGAAGCACGAAAGCGUGGGUAUCGAACAGGAUUAGAUACCCUUGUAGUC
rnacentral:rRNA from 1 species